UACGUAGGGGGCAAGCGUUAUCCGGAUUUACUGGGUGUAAAGGGAGCGUAGACGGUGAUGCAAGUCAGAAGUGGAAGCCCGGGGCUCAACUCCGGGACUGCUUUUGAAACUGUGUAACUGGAGUGCAGGAGAGGUAAGCGGAAUUCCUAGUGUAGCGGUGAAAUGCGUAGAUAUUAGGAGGAACACCAGUGGCGAAGGCGGCUUACUGGACUGUAACUGACGUUGAGACUCGAAAGCGUGGGGAGCAAACAGG
rnacentral:rRNA from 1 species